rnacentral:rRNA from 1 species
GUGGGGAAUAUUGGACAAUGGGGGGAACCCUGAUCCAGCCAUGCCGCGUGUGUGAAGAAGGCCUUUUGGUUGUAAAGCACUUUAAGCGAGGAGGAGGCUACCGAGAUUAAUACUCUUGGAUAGUGGACGUUACUCGCAGAAUAAGCACCGGCUAACUCUGUGCCAGCAGCCGCGGUAAUACAGAGGGUGCAAGCGUUAAUCGGAUUUACUGGGCGUAAAGCGCGCGUAGGUGGCUAAUUAAGUCAAAUGUGAAAUCCCCGAGCUUAACUUGGGAAUUGCAUUCGAUACUGGUUAGCUAGAGUAUGGGAGAGGAUGGUAGAAUUCCAGGUGUAGCGGUGAAAUGCGUAGAGAUCUGGAGGAAUACCGAUGGCGAAGGCAGCCAUCUGGCCUAAUACUGACACUGAGGUGCGAAAGCAUGGGGAGCAAACAGGAUUAGAUACCCCGGUAGUCC